GAACUGAAAACAAGAAGCUCAGAAUCUAGUUGCAUAGUUGUAUAGUGAAAUUUCACACACUUCUGUCAUUGAGGUCUCUAAAACAAAGACAGUUUUUCAGGAUGACUGCUUGAGGCCAGGAGUUCGAGAUCAGCCUGGACAACAUAACAUAGGGAAGCCCCAUCUCUACUGAAGGUCAGGACCGCAGCGCCAGCCCGCCGCGGUCACGUGACGCCGCCGGGAGGCGCAGCGCGGCUGAUUCAUCCCAGGCCAGGCGAGUGGAAAAGUACCAGCCGCGCGCGAGGGUUUCUAAUCAUUUCUUAAUCUUCAUCUCAAAAAGAAUCUCACUACCAUUAAAAAAGUCAAAAGGCAUUCUUCAGACUAAAUUGGUGUCUCUUUUGCUUUGUUGCUUUUUCUUCCUUUCUUAAAAUCUUCUGGAAUGACUGAAACCUAGGAAGCAGCAUGAUUUGAGAUGAC
rnacentral:lncRNA from 1 species